AUUGAACGCUGGCGGCAGGCUUAACACAUGCAAGUCGAGCGGUAACAGAGAGAAGCUUGCUUCUCUGCUGACGAGCGGCGGACGGGUGAGUAAUGCCUAGGAAUCUGCCUAGUAGUGGGGGAUAACUUGCCGAAAGGUAAGCUAAUACCGCAUACGUCCUACGGGAGAAAGGAGGGGACCUUCGGGCCUUUCGCUAUUAGAUGAGCCUGGGUCGGAUUAGUUAGUUGGUGAGGUAAUGGCUCACCAAGACCGCGAUCCGUAACUGGUCUGAGAGGAUGAUCAGUCACACUGGAACUGAGACACGGUCCAGACUCCUACGGGAGGCAGCAGUGGGGAAUAUUGGACAAUGGGGGGGAACCCUGAUCCAGCCAUGCCGCGUGUGUGAAGAAGGUCUUAGGAUUGUAAAGCACUUUAAGUUGGGAGGAAGAGCAGUUAACUAAUAUUUGACUGUUUUGACGUUACCGACAGAAUAAGCACCGGCUAACUUCGUG
rnacentral:rRNA from 1 species